rnacentral:rRNA from 1 species
UACAGAGGUCCCAAGCGUUGUUCGGAUUCACUGGGCGUAAAGGGCGCGCAGGCGGUCGGGCAAGUCUGAUGUGAAAUCUCAGAGCUCAACUCUGAAACUGCAUUGGAUACUAUUCGGCUUGAGGUCUGGAGGGGGGACUGGAAUUCUCGGUGUAGCAGUGAAAUGCGUAGAUAUCGAGAGGAACACCAGUGGCGAAGGCGGCUUUCUGGCCUGUUCUUGACGCUGAGGCGCGAAAGCCAGGGGAGCAAACGGG